ACAAAAAGUGGGAAUAUUGUGUUCCAAAGUUACACAGUGCAUCCAGGCUAUGUGGUGCAUGUAUGGGGUUUGUGAAGGGUUAGGGUUACACUAUUUUCUUGGUCCAGUCAUUGUCUUGGCAGACCAGAUUCAGUUAAGAGAAAGUUGUAUAUAAAUUUGUGAGCCAAGAAAAAGGCAAGUGUUCUGUAGAGAGUUCUUUUUAGGGAGCAUAAUGAACAAGAAGAGAGAAAAUAUAAUAGAAGGAGUCAAUAUAAAUAGUAGAGGGGUUUUUUCCUAAGUAUCCAACAGGAAAUAUAAGCCUUAUAAUUGAACUUCUCAAGUCCAGUGCUGCAUUGAAUCUGCUAUAUAUACCUGACCUUCCCAAACAUAGGUCCUGUGUAUGAUAGUAAGAAAUUAACUUUUUAUCAACUGCUACUAUGUGCUAGGCGCUAAGAAUUCUUGUAUUUCCAUUUAUUCUUGUAUCAAAUCAAAGACUUAAGUUCUCUAAUCCACAUUUUACAAUAAAAAAAAUCAAGUAUGAGGAGAUGCUAGAUAUCUUCACUUCAGUGUUUCACAGAUAGUAUAUGGCAGGACUGAGAGUUGAAACUUGCAAAACUGACUCCAGAGCUUCUACAUGCCUUGAUUUGAAGAAUAUAGGC
rnacentral:lncRNA from 1 species